rnacentral:rRNA from 1 species
AGUGAACGCUAGCGGCAGGCUUAACACAUGCAAGUCGAGGGGCAGCGCGGGUAGCAAUACCUGGCGGCGACCGGCAAACGGGUGCGGAACACGUACGCAAUCUGCCCUUACCCGGAGCAUAGCCCGAAGAAAUUCGGAUUAACUCUCCAUAAGAUAGUAGAAUGGCAUCAUUUAGCUAUUAAAAAUUUAUUGGGUAAGGAUGAGCGUGCGUCCCAUUAGCUAGUUGGUAGGGUAACGGCCUACCAAGGCGACGAUGGGUAGCUGGUGUGAGAGCACGACCAGCCACACGGGCACUGAGACACGGGCCCGACUCCUACGGGAGGCAGCAGUGAGGAAUAUUGGUCAAUGGACGCAAGUCUGAACCAGCCAUGCCGCGUGAAGGAUGAAGGCCUUCUGGGUUGUAAACUUCUUUUAUGUGGGAAGAAACCUCUGAUUUCUAUUAGAGUUGACGGUACCAUAGGAAUAAGCACCGGCUAACUCCGUGCCAGCCGCCGCAGUAACAC